rnacentral:rRNA from 1 species
AUACGUAGGGGGCAAGCGUUAUCCGGAUUUACUGGGUGUAAAGGGAGCGUAGACGGUUCUGCAAGUCUGGAGUGAAAUCCCGGGGCUCAACCUCGGAACUGCCUUUGAUACUGGGCGUCUAGAGUGUGGAAGAGGUAAGUGGAAUUCCGAGUGUAGAGGUGAAAUUCGUAGAUAUUCGGAGGAACACCAGUGGCGAAGGCGGCUUACUGGUCCAUUACUGACGCUGAGGUGCGAAAGCGUGGGGAGC